rnacentral:rRNA from 1 species
UACGGAGGGUGCAAGCGUUAAUCGGAAUCACUGGGCGUAAAGGGUGCGCAGGCGGCCAAGUGUGUGAGGCGUGAAAGCCCGGGGCUUAACCCCGGAAUUGCACCUCAAACUACAUGGCUAGAGCAUUGGAGAGGGUAGCAGAAUUCAUGGUGUAGCAGUGAAAUGCGUAGAUAUCAUGAGGAAUACCAGAGGCGAAGGCGGCUACCUGGACAAUUGCUGACGCUCAGGCACGAAAGCGUGGGGAGCAAAAGGG